rnacentral:tRNA from 1 species
UCCCUGGCGGUCUAGUGGUUGGGACUCCCCGUUCUCACUGCCGAGGGCCUGGGUUCAAACCCCGGUUAGGGAA